UGUCACACGACUCUCGGCAACGGAUAUCUAGGCUCUCGCAUCGAUGAAGAACGUAGCAAACUGCGAUACUUGGUGUGAAUUGCAGAAUCCCGUGAACCAUCGAGUCUUUGAACGCAAGUUGCGCCCGAAGCCGUUAGGCCGAGGGCACGUCUGCCUGGGCGUCACGC
rnacentral:rRNA from 1 species